CGUGAAUUAUGAUCCGAUCAAUUGGCUUGAGUCAUUGGGUAUUAUUGUUGGAAUUAUUUUCUUGGUCUUGGGAAUCUUAUUCCAGUUUUUCAACUUCACUGCAGAUUCAAAUCUGUUGAAAGGUUUGCUCAUGAGGACAAGGGUGAUUUUGCAACUUCACUAAAGCAUUUUAGAGUCAAAACCUCUACAGAGGAGUAGAAAGAAUGUAAGCCACCUGUACAGCAGAGCUAGCAAGACCUAGAUCCCCUUCCACCACCCAGUACCAUAUAUAUAAACACCUGCCCAAACUCUUUUGAACAAUGAGCAACUAAAGGUUGCCCAUAUUUUGAUGUUUUUAUAAUUGCUUGAUCUAUUAAAAUAUGCCCAAUAUUUUCACA